AAAAAGGAAAAAGAAAUGGGUUUCCAAUUUUUUAAGUUGACGAAAAAAAAACGUGCGACAGCGGCCACCUCAUUCGCAGCGGCCUACAGCUACAGCAACAACAACCACAACAAACUCGCGUCACAUUUAGGCCAGUUCAUCUCUACAAUGUUACCUCUUCCCUUUCUUCUUCAUGGCGCUAGACAAGCUCGUCAAAGGCUACAGCUGAUAAGCCUUCAUAAACUUGGUAUUUUUGGAUGCACGAGUAGCAAUAACAAUUACACUAGAAGACAGAAUGCUGUAUACCUUCGAAGGUUUUCUUCAAACAGCGAUGGAAUUAACGAUCUACCCACAAGCCAAACUCAGGAGGAGACACUGGGAAAAGGAGUGGCCGAGCUGGACAUCUUUGAAGACACUUUUAAAAGAUCGCUUAAGGAAGAGCAUGUCUUUAUCAUUCAGCCAGAUUUCAAAUGGGGCAAAGGGCGGUUUCUCAGUAAGGCUGUAAACAGCCGCCUUGACGAGGCUGCAGCCCUUGUCCAAACUGUUACCAACUGGAAAGUCCAGGAAGGGCAGAUUGAGUCAAUGCAUGAGAUCAAUGCAAAACAUUAUUUCGGAUCAGGAAAACUAAAAGAGUUGCAAAAUAAAAUCGGGCAGUUAAGGCACAGUAAUAAAUUGACAGGCGUUUUUAUCAAUGUUGGAAAGCUUAGUCGCAGGCAAACAAGUCAUUUGGAGGAAGCUUUUAAGUGUUCAGUGUACGACAGGUACAAAAUUGUUUUGGAAAUAUUCAAGGAAAGGGCAAAAACAAAAGAAGCAAAGUUGCAAGUCAAACUUGCUGAACUAAUAUACGAGAGGUGGCAUUUAUCUUCGGACAAUGUUACUUAUGACCAACAGCGGGGAGGUACAAUGUCAGUUGGAGGAAGUGGGGAGACUCAUCUGGAAAUGAAAAGAAGGCUGUUGAAUGAAAAAGAAGCAAAGAUUCGAAAAGAGCUGAGGCAUAUUGAAAACCAAAGAAAGCAGAAUAGGACAGAGAGAGUUAAUAAGCAUGUGCCACAGAUUGCAUUGAUAGGUUACACAAAUGCAGGUAAAACAACAUUAGCAAGGGCGCUGUCUGGAGAUGCAAAACUAGAGCCUGAAGACAGGCUAUUUGCUACACUUGAUACAACUGCUCAUAGAGGAAAACUACCCUGUGGUCUUGGGGUUAUAUAUAUUGAUACAGUUGGUUUUAUAUCGGAUCUACCACAUGAGCUUAUUCAGUCAUUUUCAGCCACACUUGAAGAUGUUAAAAACUCUACAUUGCUUGUGCAUGUGCGUGAUAUGACAAAUCCAGAAUAUGAGCUGCAGAAGCAGAGUGUCAUGCAGGUACUGCAAAAUCUUGAGGUUGAUGCCAACUUAUUGCAAAACAUGGUGGAGGUUCAUAAUAAAGCUGAUUUAAGGCAAGGAGCAAAUUCACUACCAGAUGAGGACAAUGAUAGUGUCCCUGUGUCUGCAUUAAAGGGAAAUGGAAUAGAGGACUUAAAAUUUGUUGUUGAAAACAAAGUUUUUGAUGCCACAGAAAGGAGGAUAUAUUCACUUGAAGUUGACCCACAAGGACCACUCUUAAGUUGGCUGCAUCAUCAUGCAACGGUGCUGAACACCGAUUAUGAGAAGGGUAACACUUUAAGCAUUCAAGCAAUAAUGGACUCUGAAACGUAUGCAAAAUGGAUGGGAAUGGCAAGAAAGAUAAAAAAGAUAAUCAGGGUCCUUCUGAGUCCGGCAUAAUAAGAGUAGCCAAACAAAAUUAUGUAUAAUGGCAAUUAUGGCCGAGAGCACAACAACAAAUCCCUUUUUGUUCACAAUUGACACUUACGAACCCGUUUCAAAUACUGCUAGGAAACCGCUGAGUACAAACAGGGUAUCGCACUCCCUUUGGCGACGCCCCUGCAAGAAAUGCGGGCCAGUAGAAAGUUGCUUGCGGGACGAUCCGUCGUCGGGUCAAAUUUCCCUUGUACGUGCUUUGGUUAACGAAG